rnacentral:ncRNA from 2 species
AGUGUAGGUAGAGGCGCGGGCUUCAAGAGUAAGAAUCCGGAGAUUAUGGGAAUCUAAGAAGGAUUUUGAAAGGGAAUACCGCCGAAGCUGAGGAUGGCCCAUUCCAUCCCAUGCUGGUCCUGUAUUGAAUAAAUGCAGGAUUGUCAGGGUUAUCCACCCUGGAGGGCUAUCUCACAU